GCCCCACCCCCCAACCUCCAGGGAGGGCAGAGGGGCUGGGGAUCAUCAAGUUAAGCACCAAUGGCCAAUAAUUUAAUCAAUCGUGCCCACGUUGUAGAAAACCCUUAAUGAAGUGGUUCGGAGCUUCCAGGUUGUGAGCUAUCAGAUUACUGAACACGAGAAGUUGUGGAAAUCCUGGAUUUAUAGCUGGUUGGCCAAAAAUACAGAUGACAACUGUACUUGGGACUUGCAACUGGCAUCUGAAGCGGGCGGCAAUCUUGAGGAACUACACCUUUAGCCUGCAAUGUCUGCGCUAACUCCGGGUAGCCGCGGCCAAAAUGCAUUAAACGGUAGGACCCCCAGUGGGCAGGAGCCCACAGAGAACUGGAGAAGUGCUUGGCGUGGAAAGCCCGCAUGUUUGGUGUCACAAGUGCUGUGAACAGAGGAAUGGUUUUCUUUGACUCAUAAUAAGAAAAUCUCGCCUCAGAUAGGCAGAGAUGGAAAAAGGACUAUUUUAAUAGCUGUUUGAGAUCACUGUGGAUAAAUUCUUCUUUGAUACUACACCAAAAUGUGACAAGUGGUAGUUUCUUAAAGAAAAAGAAAAAAGAAUUCAUGAAGAAAAGAGAAAGUUCCAGAAAUGGGACAAAAGUUCAGGUAUGACUCACGAUCAGUGCUGUCUCUAAUACAGAGAGCUAUAAAAAGAUAUGUUCUGGGAA